rnacentral:rRNA from 1 species
GUCUCUUUGAGUUUUAUUAAUGAAGAGUUGGGCCUGCUCGGUGAGAAAAUAAUUUAACAGCUGCGGUAUUAUAACUGUACUAAGGUAGCAUAAUAAUUUGCCUUAUAAAUUGAGGCUAGAAUGAAUGGUUUGACGAAAAUUAGACUGUCUUUAUUUUAUUUGUUAGAAAUUAAUUUUUAUAGUGAAAAAGCUUGAAUGAUUUAAAGGGACGAGAAGACCCUAUUGAGCUUGUUUAUUAGUACUUAAAUAUAAAAUCAAUUUUGUUUAUAAGAUGAAUUGUUUGUUAUAUUGAAUAUAUUUAAUUAAGUUAAUUUUGAUUGGGGUGAUCAAGGAAUAAAAGGUAUGAUAACUUCCUUAAAAUUUUUAAAAUUUAUGGAUUAAUAAACCAAAAAUUUUGCUUAUAGGUAAGUUACCAUAGGGGUAACAGCGUAAUUUUUUUUGAGAGUUCAUAUUGAAAAAAGAGAUUGCGACCUCGAUGUUGGAUUAAAAUUACCUUAAGGUGUAGAGGCUUUAUUAGGUAAAUCUGUUCGAUUUUUAAAAUU